CUCCCAUUUCUGUCUCUCUCCUCCCUCCCGUGGUUCUCUCUUUCUCUCUCUUCGGCUCACCUCUGCAACUCCGUCGUCCGACCACCUGGGGACGAGCCGCGGCCACCAUUCGCUUCCUCUCCCUUUCGUCGACUCGCCUGAGGUGGUGGAACACCGUGCCGUGGACGGAAAACGAGGAACCAUGGCCUUAAAGUUUACUGUAGCAAAAUGGGUCAACGCCGAGUUCUCCAGAUUCCGGCCACCAAAACCGGCCAAACUUGGCCAAUCAGAAGCGGCUUGAGACGUAGAUCAUCCUCCCCAAAGCUUUUGCUGAGAAUUGAAGCAUGGAGGAAGAAAGCAUAAUUGGAAAAUUUCACAGUACUUCGGAGUGCUUAAUUGUUCGGCCACUUCAAGGACGACGUACCGAGCUACUGCUCGACGAAGGAAACCGUUUGUGUUGUCGCCUAAACAGUACUUUUGCAGGCCAGUUUAGCUUGAGGUCGAGCGUACAUGAAGUUGAGGCAUAGCUGUCAUAGCUUCCGCAUUAUAAAAAGUAUCGAUAAUUUAUCUUGUAUUUUAUCCUCUUGUACACCCUGUACAUUAGAUUGCUCUGAUAACCCAUGAG